rnacentral:rRNA from 1 species
AGUGAACGCUGGCGGUAGGCCUAACACAUGCAAGUCGAACGGCAGCACAGUAAGAGCUUGCUCUUACGGGUGGCGAGUGGCGGACGGGUGAGGCAUACAUCGGAAUCUACUUUUUCGUGGGGGAUAACGUAGGGAAACUUACGCUAAUACCGCAUACGACCUACGGGUGAAAGCAGGGGAUCUUCGGACCUUGCGCGAUUGAAUGAGCCGAUGCCGGAUUAGCUAGUUGGCGGGGUAAAGGCCCACCAAGGCGACGAUCCGUAGCUGGUCUGAGAGGAUGAUCAGCCACACUGGAACUGAGACACGGUCCAGACUCCUACGGGAGGCAGCAGUAGGGAAUAUUGGACAAUGGGCGCAAGCCUGAUCCAGCCAUACCGCGUGGGUGAAGAAGGCCUUCGGGUUGUAAAGCCCUUUUGUUGGGAAAGAAAAGCAGCGGGUUAAUACCCCGCUGUUCUGACGGUACCCAAAGAAUAAGCACCGGCUAACUUCGUG